rnacentral:rRNA from 1 species
UACGGGGGGGGCAAGCGUUGUUCGGAAUUACUGGGCGUAAAGGGCUUGUAGGUGGCCAACUAAGUCAGACGUGAAAUCCCUCAGCUUAACUGGGGAACUGCGUCUGAUACUGGAUGGCUUGAGUUCGGGAGAGGGAUGCGGAAUUCCAGGUGUAGCGGUGAAAUGCGUAGAUAUCUGGAGGAACACCGGUGGCGAAGGCGGCAUCCUGGACCGAUACUGACGCUGAGGAGCGAAAGCCAGGGGAGCAAACGGG